rnacentral:rRNA from 1 species
UGCAAGUCGAGCGGACAGAAGGGAGCUUGCUCCCGGAUGUUAGCGGCGGACGGGUGAGUAACACGUGGGUAACCUGCCUGUAAGACUGGGAUAACUCCGGGAAACCGGAGCUAAUACCGGAUAGUUCCUUGAACCGCAUGGUUCAAGGAUGAAAGACGGUUUCGGCUGUCACUUACAGAUGGACCCGCGGCGCAUUAGCUAGUUGGUGAGGUAACGGCUCACCAAGGCGACGAUGCGUAGCCGACCUGAGAGGGUGAUCGGCCACACUGGGACUGAGACACGGCCCAGACUCCUACGGGAGGCAGCAGUAGGGAAUCUUCCGCAAUGGACGAAAGUCUGACGGAGCAACGCCGCGUGAGUGAUGAAGGUUUUCGGAUCGUAAAGCUCUGUUGUUAGGGAAGAACAAGUGCAAGAGUAACUGCUUGCACCUUGACGGUACCUAACCAGAAAGCCACGGCUAACUACGUGCCAGCAGCCGCGGUAAUACGUAGGUGGCAAGCGUUGUCCGGAAUUAUUGGGCGUAAAGGGCUCGCAGGCGGUUUCUUAAGUCUGAUGUGAAAGCCCCCGGCUCAACCGGGGAGGGUCAUUGGAAACUGGGAAACUUGAGUGCAGAAGAGGAGAGUGGAAUUCCACGUGUAGCGGUGAAAUGCGUAGAGAUGUGGAGGAACACCAGUGGCGAAGGCGACUCUCUGGUCUGUAACUGACGCUGAGGAGCGAAAGCGUGGGGAGCGAACAGGAUUAGAUACCCUGGUAGUCCACGCCGUAAACGAUGAGUGCUAAGUGUUAAGGGGUUUCCGCCCCUUAGUGCUGCAGCUAACGCAUUAAGCACUCCGCCUGGGGAGUACGGUCGCAAGACUGAAACUCAAAGGAAUUGACGGGGGCCGCACAAGCGGUGGAGCAUGUGGUUUAAUUCGAAGCAACGCGAGAACCUUACCAGGUCUUGACAUCCUCUGACA